AGCCGAAGGUAGAGCAACCGCCUUGUAAGCGGUCGGUCGUCGGUUCAAAUCCGUC
rnacentral:tRNA from 1 species